CCUACGGGAGGCAGCAGUGAGGAAUAUUGGUCAAUGGCCGAGAGGCUGAACCAGCCAAGUCGCGUGAGGGACGAAUGUCCUAUGGAUUGUAAACCUCUUUUGUCAGGGAGCAAAGUCACCCACGUGUGGGUGUUUGAGAGUACCUGAAGAAAAAGCAUCGAUUAAUGCCGUGACAGCAGCCGCGGUAAUACGGAGGAUGCGAUCGUUAUCCGGAUUUAUUGGGUUUAAAGGGUGCGUAGGCGGGUUAUCAAGUCAGCGGUAAAAUCGUGGAGCUAAACUCCAUCCAGCCGUUGAAACUGAUGAUCUUGAGUGGGCGAGAAGUAUGUGGAAUGCGUGGUGUAGCGGUGAAAUGCAUAGAUAUCACGCAGAACUCCGAUUGCGAAGGCAGUUCACUGGACUGCAACUGACACUGAGGCUCGAAAGUGUGGGUAUCAAACAGGAUUAGAUACCCCUGUAGUC
rnacentral:rRNA from 1 species